CACUAUGUUUAAUGUUUUUUCCAACCCAGCUCUGUUUCUUCUGGACUGUUCUAUAGACUGCUGGCCCUGACACUCAGUGACGGCCACACCCAGCUCACCUGUCUUCACUCCUCUGAUUAGCUCCCUUUGUGUGGAUGAUUGAAGGUUUCCUUGGUCCACUGCCCCUGUGCUUUCUGUAGCCACAGUUAUCUCGCCCUCUGUGUUUCUGGUUUCUUUGUAUCUCUGCAGUGUUUUCUUGUGUUCCCCUUGUGUCUGGGCUUUGCAUGUUGGAUUUACCUCUGGCUGGAUUUAUGCCCUGCCUGGAUUGGUCUCAUGUCUUUGACCCUGUGUUGGACUCACUCUGUCUGUGCAGAGGUCACUGGCGCUGUUCCCCACCCAACUGAAGCAGACAAACACUGAGUCUCUCUCAGCAUGCUCAGCCUGUGAACUGUUGCAGAUGACUUGGUGCUGCCCCCUGUUGACAGCAGGGCAUAGCUGACAUAGGGGCGUCUGUGGUUCAGGAGGUAGGAUGGGUUGACACCUAACCUGAAGCUUGGCAGGUCAGUUCUGAGCUUCUCCAGUCUACAUGCCAAAGUGUCCUUGAGCAC